CGAGGAGAAUAUUUGACCGGGUCAAGGGUCGGGACUUUCGGCCACCAACAGGGGUGAAUCUUAUUCCCAAGUGAAUCUAAUAUUACCAACUAGAUUAUUUAGUGUGUUUAGCCAAACACCGUCAUUUAUUUUUAUUACUAUUGGAUUACAAGGAAUCUUUAAAAGAUAGCGCGAACCAAACGCAACCGAAAAGUAAUUAAAGGAUUAUUGGUAAAU
rnacentral:lncRNA from 1 species